rnacentral:rRNA from 1 species
CCUACGGGUGGCAGCAGUGGGGAAUUUUGGACAAUGGGCGCAAGCCUGAUCCAGCUAUUCCGCGUGUGGGAUGACGGCCCUCGGGUUGUAAACCACUUUAGUAGAGAACGAAAAGGAGCUAUCGAAUAAAUAGCUCUGUCAGCAGGGAAGAAAGAAAUGACGGUACCUGACCAAGAAGCCCCGGCUAACUACGUGCCAGCAGCCGCGGUAAUACGUAGGGGGCAAGCGUUAUCCGGAAUUACUGGGUGUAAAGGGAGCGUAGACGGUUAAGUAAGUCUGGAGUGAAAGGCCGGGGCCCAACCCCGGGACUGCUCUGGAAACUAGUGAACUUGAGUGCAGGAGAGGUAAGCGGAAUUCCUAGUGUAGCGGUGAAAUGCGUAGAUAUUAGGAGGAACACCAGUGGCGAAGGCGGCUUACUGGACUGUAACUGACGUUGAGGCUCGAAAGCGUGGGGAGCAAACAGGAUUAGAUACCCCAGUAGUC